rnacentral:rRNA from 1 species
AACGCGGCGGCAGGCCUAACACAUGCAAGUCGAGCGGAUGACGGGAGCUUGCUCCCUGAUUUAGCGGCGGAAGGGUGAGUAAAGCCUAGGGAUCUGCCUGGUAGUGGGGGACAACGUUUCGAAAGGAACGCUAAUACCGCCUACGUCCUACGGGAGAAAGCAGGGGACCUUUGGGCCCUGCGCUAUCAGAUGAGCCUAGGUCGGAUUAGCUAGUUGGUGGGGUAAUGGCUCACCAAGGCGACGAUCCGUAACUGGUCUGAGAGGAUGAUCAGUCACACUGGAAUUGAGACACGGUCCAGACUCCUACGGGAGGCAGCAGUGGGGAAUAUUGGACAAUGGGCGAAAGCCUGAUCCAGCCAUGCCGCGUGUGUGAAGAAGGUCUUCGGAUUGUAAAGCACUUUAAGUUGGGAGGAAGGGCAGUAAGUUAAUACC